UACGUAGGUGGCAAGCGUUGUCCGGAUUUACUGGGCGUAAAGGAUGCGUAGGCGGACAUUUAAGUCAGAUGUGAAAUACCCGAGCUUAACUUGGGUGCUGCAUUUGAAACUGGGUGUCUAGAGUGCAGGAGAGGUAAGUGGAAUUCCUAGUGUAGCGGUGAAAUGCGUAGAGAUUAGGAAGAACACCAGUGGCGAAGGCGACUUACUGGACUGUAACUGACGCUGAGGCAUGAAAGCGUGGGGAGCAAAUAGG
rnacentral:rRNA from 1 species